CGCAGUGGAGAAUCUACCCUUUUCUACGGAACAACUGAGUGGAAACUUCAAUCUUUUACCGUAUCCUGUCGAGAGGCCCAAGAUUUAUCGGAGAAGGAUGAGCCCGCGUUGGAUUAGCUAGUUGGUGGGGUAAAGGCCUACCAAGGCGACGAUCCAUAGCUGGUCUGAGAGGAUGAUCAGCCACACUGGGACUGAGACACGGCCCAGACUCCUACGGGAGGCAGCAGUGGGGAAUAUUGGACAAUGGGCGCAAGCCUGAUCCAGCCAUGCCGCGUGAGUGAUGAAGGUCUUAGGAUUGUAAAGCUCUUUCACCGGUGAAGAUAAUGACGGUAACCGGAGAAGAAGCCCCGGCUAACUUCGUGCCAGCAGCCGCGGUAAUACGAAGGGGGCUAGCGUUGUUCGGAUUUACUGGGCGUAAAGCGCACAUAGGCGGACUAUUAAGUCAGGGGUGAAAUCCCGGGGCUCAACCCCGGAACUGCCUUUGAUACUGGUAGUCUUGAGUUCCAGAGAGGUGAGUGGGAAUUCCGAGUGUAGAGGUGAAACUUCGUAGAUAUUCGGAGGAACACCAGUGGCGAAAGGCCGCUCCCUGGCUCGAUC
rnacentral:rRNA from 1 species